AACGAACGCUGGCGGCAUGCCUAACACAUGCAAGUCGAACGAGACCUUCGGGUCUAGUGGCGGACGGGUGCGUAACGCGUGGGAACCUGCCCUUAGGUUCGGAAUAACUCCCCGAAAGGGGUGCUAAUCCCGGAUAAUGUCUUCGGACCAAAGAUUUAUAGCCUUUGGAUGGGCCCGCGUUGGAUUAGCCAGUUGGUAGGGUAGAAGCCCACCAAGGCGACAAUCCAUAGCUGGACUGAGAGGAUGAUCAGCCACACUGGGACUGAGACACGGCCCAGACUCCUCCGGUAGGCAGCAGUGGGGAACAGUGGAACAUGGGCGAAGGCCUGAUCCAGCAAUGCCGCGUGAGUGAUGAAGGCCUUAGGGUUGUAAAGCUCUUUUACCCGGGAGGAUAAUGACAGUACCGGGAGAAUAAGCUACGGCUAACGCCGUG
rnacentral:rRNA from 1 species